CCUCCGGCAAUGGCAGUCGGCAUGGAGCAGCUCGACUUGCUGGUUCAGCAGGUCAGGGGCCUCACCGAAGCAGUGCAGGCCAUGCAGCAGCAGUCGUAGGCAUCAGUGCGGCUAGAAAAAGCAUUGUCGGAGUUUCAGAAUCUGACGAUCGGGUGGGCCACUUGGGCAAGUCGCCUCGUCUUCCCCGGAAAGGGGAAGCAGAAGGUGGAGAGCCCACCAUCCGAUCACGAUUCUACCCCCGGAGAGUCUCUACCUCUGUUCCACC
rnacentral:lncRNA from 1 species